rnacentral:rRNA from 1 species
UGGGGAAUUUUGGACAAUGGGCGCAAGCCUGAUCCAGCCAUGCCGCGUGCGGGAAGAAGGCCUUCGGGUUGUAAACCGCUUUUGNCAGGGAAGAAAUCUUCUGAGUUAAUACCUCGGGAGGAUGACGGUACCUGAAGAAUAAGCACCGGCUAACUACGUGCCAGCAGCCGCGGUAAUACGUAGGGUGCAAGCGUUAAUCGGAAUACUGGGCGUAAAGCGUGCGCAGGCGGUUUUGUAAGACAGAGGUGAAAUCCCCGGGCUCAACCUGGGAACUGCCUUUGUGACUGCAAGGCUUGAGUGCGGCAGAGGGGGAUGGAAUUCCGCGUGUAGCAGUGAAAUGCGUAGAUAUGCGGAGGAACACCGAUGGCGAAGGAAUCCCCUGGGCCUGCACUGACGCUCAUGCACGAAAGCGUGGGGAGCAAACAGGAUUAGAUAGCCCUGGUAGUCCACGCCCCUAAAACCGAUGUCAACUGGUUGUUGGGAAGGUUCCUUCUCAGUAACGUAGCUAACGCGUGAAGUUGACCGCCUGGGGAGUACGGCCGC